UUGACGAUGGAUUACCAGUGAGCGGCGGACGGGUGAGUAACACGUGGGCAACCUGCCCUGGAGCGGGGAUAACAUCUGGAACAGGUGCUAAUACCGCAUGACUACUAAACCACAUGGUUUUAGUAUAAAGAAGGCUUCGGCUUUCACUCUAGGAUGGGCCCGCGGUGCAUUAGCUAGUUGGUAAGGUAACGGCUUACCAAGGCGAUGAUGCAUAGCCGAGUUGGGAGACUGAUCGGCCACAAUGGAACUGAGACACGGUCCAUACUCC
rnacentral:rRNA from 1 species